rnacentral:pre_miRNA from 1 species
UCUUACGAAUGAGCAAAGAAAUUCGUUCCUUGAAAUGGAAUCCACUCCUGAUGAAAAUGCUGUGAA